UACGGAGGGUGCAAGCGUUAAUCGGAAUUACUGGCGUAAAGCGUGCGUAGGCGGUUCGUUAAGUCUGUUGUGAAAGCCCCGGGCUCAACCUGGGAAUGGCAAUGGAUACUGGCGAGCUAGAGUGUGUCAGAGGAUGGUGGAAUUCCCGGUGUAGCGGUGAAAUGCGUAGAGAUCGGGAGGAACAUCAGUGGCGAAGGCGGCCAUCUGGACAACACGUGACGCUGAGGCACGAAGCGUGGGAGCAAACAGGAUUAGA
rnacentral:rRNA from 1 species